rnacentral:rRNA from 1 species
GAUGAACGCUGGCGGCGUGCCUAAUACAUGCAAGUCGAGCGAACAGACGAGGAGCUUGCUCCUCUGACGUUAGCGGCGGACGGGUGAGUAACACGUGGAUAACCUACCUAUAAGACUGGGAUAACUUCGGGAAACCGGAGCUAAUACCGGAUAAUAUAUUGAACCGCAUGGUUCAAUAGUGAAAGACGGUUUUGCUGUCUCUUAUAGAUGGAUCCGCGCCGCAUUAGCUAGUUGGUAAGGUAACGGCUUACCAAGGCAACGAUGCGUAGCCGACCUGAGAGGGUGAUCGGCCACACUGGAACUGAGACACGGUCCAGACUCCUGCGGGAGGCAGCAGUAGGGAAUCUUCCGCAAUGGGCGAAAGCUUGACGGAGCAACGCCGCGUGAGUGAUGAAGGUCUUCGGAUCGUAAAACUCUGUUAUUAGGGAAGAACAAAUGUGUAAGUAACUAUGCACGUCUUGACGGUACCUAAUCAGAAAGCCACGGCUAACUACGUG